GACGAACGCUGGCGGCGUGCUUAACACAUGCAAGUCGAACGGAAAGGCCCUGCUUGCAGGGUACUCGAGUGGCGAACGGGUGAGUAACACGUGGGUGAUCUGCCCUGCACUUCGGGAUAAGCCUGGGAAACUGGGUCUAAUACCGGAUAGGAGCCAUUUUUAGUGUGAUGGUUGGAAAGUUUUUUCGGUGUAGGAUGAGCUCGCGGCCUAUCAGCUUGUUGGUGGGGUAAUGGCCUACCAAGGCGGCGACGGGUAGCCGGCCUGAGAGGGUGGACGGCCACAUUGGGACUGAGAGACGGCCCAGACUCCUACGGGAGGCAGCAGUGGGGAAUAUUGCACAAUGGGCGCAAGCCUGAUGCAGCGACGCCGCGUGGGGGAUGACGGCCUUCGGGUUGUAAACGCCGUUCGCUAGGGACGAAGCUUUUUGUGACGGUACCUAGAUAAGAAGCACCGGCUAACUACGUG
rnacentral:rRNA from 1 species